CACGAGACAGGCAUCUGACUUUCUAGUGUCUAGGUCAAGGUCAUAGAAGCACGUGUUCGACCAUUAUGGCUGCCAAAAGGGAAGCCGGUUCCUUCAACACAAAAUGAAGGCUCCUGGCAGUGAGGGACACCACAGGGUGGCAGAACAAACUUGCCAGAUUGAAAGCGGAACCUUGUGUUUGCUGCUAUGUCAUUCACCAGGGGGGCUGUGAACUUGUGUGUUCUGUCUCACCAGCAAUGGGGGAGAAACAAAGCUCCCCUGUGUUGUUUAAUAUGCACCCUGACUGCCUCUCUCCUGGGUGUGGCACCUGCCACUUGUCACCAGAAAGGGCCACCAGGAGAGGAAGAAUUAGGACUUCAGAGCUGAUGCAUGCCAUUCAUGCUGACCUGCUUUGAACCGACCCUCCCCCCCCCCACCCCGAGACUUCUGGGCAGGAGGUGGGGAGCUUGACACAAAAUGAAGGCUCCUGGAAAGCUUUUUAGGAAGUCUAUAAUUCAGUGGCUUUUAGUAUAUUUACAGAGUUGAGGAACUGUCAGCAAAACCAGUCCAAGAAUGUUUUUGUCAUCCCCAGAGAAAUCCUCACCUUCUAGCAAUGCCCUACACCUUCUCGAUGUGGUCUCCUCCACCCCCAACCCCCAGCAGUGCUCAUCUAUUUUUGUCUGUAUAUUUGCCUGCUUUAUGUUUUGCACAGAUGGGAUCACAUCCCGGGCUCUCUUCUCUGUCUUUCAUUUAGCAUUGUGUUUUUGUUAUUUUUCCCUCAUUCCUCACAUGGUGCUGGAAAUGGAACCCAUGUGCUAGCCCAGUGCUCUACACCCUAGCUACACACCCAGGCUAAGCAAGGACCAGAGAGUGCAAAAAGUAGGUGGCUUAGGGGUUGUGUUAUAAGAGCAGACUCCGCCUACUGUGAAUUGAAGGUCACUUCUCCCCUUCAGUGUCCCCUCUGAGCGAAGUCUCCUAAGGUAUGUACGGAUCGUUUGCUUAUUUGAUUCCAAAUUCUAGAGUCCAAUUCUGCUUCCCUCUGGCCUGCUCUGCCCUCCAUGUGGGCACCCAUGUGUUUCUCAGGCUCCUGCAGCCUGCUGUGGCCUCUGGCCUGCUGCACCCAAAUGGACAUCUCCUUUCUCUCCUGAUCACUUCUGUCUCUUGUCCCCCAGGAGCUGCAGUCCUGCCUUGAGCAGCCUGAUCCAGGAGCUGCAGUCCCGACUGGGGCAGUCUGGAACUCUUUUUUUUUUUUUUCCUUGCUUCCUCCCACUUGGAGCUACCUGCUCUAUCCCUCUUUGUGCCUUCAGGGGCCUAUACUUUGCUAAUUUCCUUGCCUUCCCCUUAGGAGCUGUUUGCCCUGCUUCUCAGUUCCUGUUUGUUCCUCCUUGUCCCUUAACCAUUCCUCUCCUUGUCCUACUCCGUAAGUGUCUCUCUGGAUCCAUCUUCUACACCCUUAGGGAUCCCAUCACAUGGGCAAAGUUCUCUGUCAGCUCUGGCCUCCUACACCUAAAAGGGCCUCUCUACUAAAGACACUAUUGGCUCCCUCCCCUCCCCUGCACUCCCCUGGCUGUCUCUGGCUCCAGCCGGCAGAUCCCUAGCUUCAGCUCAGCUCCUCUUGGAGCUUAUAGGAACAUAUCCGAAUGGUGUUCUGUUGUGCAACCCCCCCCCCCUUCCUCCAGGGACUCAGGUUUUAUUUUAUUUCAGCCUGGCCUCAGGACAGAACAAUGGCCAAAAAUGGACAAAGUUGAUUUCCAAAAUCUCACAAAUCAAAAUGAUCCCCAAAUUGCUUAUAUCUAAACUUGUUCUGCUCUACACCUUCUCUACUUUCCACUCCUAAAAAGCUUUUGCUCUGUGAUUUCUCUGUGCCCUGCUCUCAGAAAAUCUCUUAAGAUUAUGCUGUAAACUCUUACUUCAGGAUUUUUAACAAAAUUUGGCUUUAAAUUUAUAAAAAAAGACUUGUAAUUAAAAAAUCUACACAUAGGUAUAUGCAUGUGAUUCAACUGUUGUUUACUGUGUGUGUGUGUGUGUGUGUGUGUAACUUGUAUUCAACUCUCAUUAAAAAAAAUAAUAAUUCUACUAGGAAAACAUGUUUUUAAGGAGCAACUAUGUGGCUCUCCUUCCUGUUGGCUGAUGACUUCAUCAGGGUGUAAGCAGUCAUUUGGCUGGUGGCUAUCUUUACUAAGGUUAAAGAACUCGCAUGCUAUGAGACUUCACCAUCUUAAGAUGUCAUAAAACAACAAUUGUAAAACUUCUUAGUCCUAAUGAGCUCUCUGUUUUUCAUUGUAUCUCCUUUUUAUACUAAGGAAGCAACAAGUCUCAAAUAUUUUGGAUUGGCAUAUACUUUUGUAUGAUGGUAAAAAAUUAAGGUUAUAUUUGCUACAACAUACUAAAUAUGUGCUUCAACUCUGGUUUAGAAUAUAUUAUAUAUGGAGAUAAGAUGUUAAGGUUAUAAAAGUCUACUCAGAUUAAUAAAAGCUAACUUAGAGAUUUAUCUAAGUUUUAGAUUUAGCUAACUACUAAUGUCUUUGCUAAGUGUUCAACACCAGCCUGCUAGAAAAUUUAGAUAAGUAACAAAAUAUGUUUGCUAAAUAAAUAUAUUUAAUAAUCAAGAUGUAUAAAUUCCUAAGGUCUACUCAGGUUCACAGUAAUAUUUGUCUAACUUCUCUGUCUUUGCUCACUUUAGGCUUUAGUUAUUUGGAUAAAUUAAGUCAUACAAAACAUCAGUGUUCUAGACCAGGCAGUGGUGGUACAAUCCUUUAGUCCCAGAACUCGGGAGGCAGAGGCAGGCAGAUCUCUGUGAGUUUGAAACAAGCCUGGUCUAUAAGAGCUAGUUCCAGGACAGCCUCCAAAGCCACAGAGAAACCCUGUCUCAACCACCCCCCAAAAACAAAACAAAACAAAAUGUCAGUGUUCUAUAAUGGUAAACUAUAAAAGAAUCAGUAAGCUUGCCAGUCUCCCUAUGAACUGUAAUUAGGAUUAAAAAUUUUAUUUUGAUACUAGAAGAGCUUCAGUUCAAAAAUUGUUAAUUUUUAAGGUUAAACUUAACAGGGAUAGAAUGUUAGUCUUAGUCUUAUAAAAGCUAUUAACUUAUUGUAACAGUUAAGACAUGCAAGCUAAUCGCCAAUCACCUUAUAAAUGAUCAAAUUCAUUAAUGUACUCGACUAAUAUAAUUAAUUACAAGAAUAUGUUUGAUUUAGCCUCCUGUAUAUGUUUUUAAAAUUAAGCCUGAAAAAAAGUAACAAGAAACAAGUGAAAUUGGUUUAGUUUAGAUAUAUAUAUUCAAUAGAUAAUGGAUGCUGAAUAUGGAAUUUAAAGUGUUUAACAACAACAACAACAAAACCUUUUUGUGAUAGACUAUCAGUAUCCCUGAGAUCUCCAAAAAUGAUGGGGCACAAAAGAACUCCACCUGGAGCUUGAUUUAAUAUGACUUAGCCAGCCACUGGGUGAAAAAGUACCUUUCACCACGCCCUGUCCAAACUAUGGACAAGCAGAACACUGGGGAGUUGAUUGUCUGCUUUGCCUAGACAAGGUAGACCAGUCCCCCAAAUUCCUUCUCCCUCAUCCACAGGAAUGUCUGUGAGAUCUUCUGGGCCUGGUGGCCAAAGACUGACACUGUUCUGGGACUUCUGGCCCCAGAGAUCACAGAGGAACCUAGGGUGAUUGUCCAGGUAGCCAGUAAGUUUCUGUCAUUUUUAAUAGAUUCUGGAGCUCCUGGUCUGUACUUCCCACUUACUCAGGUGAAAUUUAUCCUCCUCAGAUUUCUGAUGGUGUUGCCCAUUAGGCUAAUGACAGCUUUCCUAUUUGAUUUGUUUUGUUUUUUGUUUUGUUUUUCGAGACAGGGUUUCUCUGUAGCUUUGGGGCCUGUCCUGGAGCUUGCCCUGUAGACCAGCAGGUCUCAAACUCACAGAGAUCCACCUGGGAUGAAAGGCAUAAGCCACUACCUCCCCCAAGCUUUGCUAGUUUAACAGCAGCAACCAAGGCUUCAGCUGCCUUCUUAAUUCUCUUCAUAUGUAAAAACUCAGGCCUCACUUUCCUAGAGCUACUGCUGGGUCUCCACACAGUCUACUUUGCUACCAGAUUCUAAACAGAAAGAAACUGACAAAACAGAUUUCAGUGUAAAGGUUUGCUACCCCUUUAUUUAAAGGAACUCGAUUUACAAUGGCUGCUCUCAGUAACCACCUGUGUCUCACAAUGGAAAAAAGAUGUAAAGUUUAUGUAAGGUCUGAGGAUCUAAGAAAAUGUUUUAGGGUCUAAGAAGGUGUUUCAAGGUGUGUAAAUGCAAAGGCAUUAGAAAGUGACUUAAGGUAUAUAAAAAUGAAGAAUGUUUCAGAUCUCUUUCCCUCUCUAUGCUAUUGUUAUAUUAAGACUUCAAAAGUUCACAGUUUCAACAUUAAUCAAUGGAGUUCUGUGGAGCUACUACUCUAGCUCUGGUAAGCACUGACUACUAUUAUCGUAGUCAGGAGCUCAAGAUUUUACAUUUCCUUUGGUUGUCUUGUAAGUACAGACUUAACAGUGCUUCUCAUUGUGCUUAAAAAACAACAACAACAAACAAAAAACAAAAAAGUCGGUCUGAUCUAUUUGGACAGAGGAAAGAGUGUUUAUUCUUUUAACCCCAAAUCAUUUUUGGAUUCCCAAGCCUUUGCUAUGACUCAAAGGUGUGAGUCUACACCUUUUCUGCUAUGUAGAUUUCAGUACAUACUACAAACAAUGGUAUUGCUAAUAUAUCUAAAACUCUUUUUGUAAACUUAAAAAAUUCUUGUAAGCUUCAAGGCAUCGACUUGAAUCCACUUAUCACAAGUCAAAUGAUUCUAGAUGAUUACUGUCAAUCAACAGCCUAUUUCCCCAUCUGCCCAUUUUUUUAUUCCUGAUGGUGGGAUAUCCCCUCCCCCCACUCCCUGAUCUUGGGACUCCCCUCCUCCAACUACCAGGACCAUAGACCUGAAAAUUCAAAUAUACACCUAAGAAAAUAUUGUCCCCCUAAACUCCUUAACUUUACUUCUGGCCCGAAUACAUAUCUGUUCUAGCAGCCCGCCAGCUCUAAGUAUUCCCUCAAAAUCUGCAUCCCAGACAGCUUCAAACAGCUAACCUCAGGUGGUUCAACCUCACAGAUAACUGCCUGUGCUUCCUUACCCCCAGAUGGUCUUGCAGAGUCUGGACAGUGAGUGAAACAGCCUGCUCUUCCAGGACUUGGCCAGCAUCCCAGCUUUCUUGGAUCCCCAAAGACAUCGACAACCGACAACCCCAGACAACAGAAAGCGGUUUGAAGAGCAUGGUGUUCCCACUCUCCCCUACCAGUCACCCCUACCUAUUUCCUUACCUUCAUAAUAAACAAAAAGGAGGAAUGUCAGAAACCAGGUGAUCCCCGAGCUCAACAGCUCAGUUUAGAGACAGUGACUCUUGAGCCCAGGAUUGUGAGGGUAAUGGUGACUAUAUUUGUAAGAAAUAAAAUCAGGUGUUCAGUUCCUAACCUAUCAAAGCAAAACUUGUUCAUGACUUGGUGUUCUCCAUGUAGCCUCCCAAGGUGUGUGUGUGGGGGUGGGGAGCAUCCAUAUGAUAGUCAUGGUACUACAGGGCUAGAGAUGUUUCAGUGACUAAGUUUUCUAUGGCAGUGGAAAUCCUCAAAGCUCUAGCCUUUAGUGACCCACAGCCUUCCUAGCCAGGCGCUCAUGAGUCUCUUGAGGCUGUAGGGGAAGUUUAACUGCAGAAAAAGCAGAGGCCUCAGGGUUCAAUCCUACAGGCUUUGAAAAAUAAUUCCAGGAAGACUAUUUGCUAUGACAAGUCCUUUCUAGACCUUCGCCUGAAAAUCUGUAGCACAAAGGUGUGAAAUUUUGUCUCUAUUUAGGGUGCCUCUGUUCCCAAAUGCUCAGCUGUUCUCCCUGAGCUGGGAGAGGGGCCGUCUUCACACAGCCCUAACUAAUGUGUUCCUUCCUUCUCAUCACCUCCCUGUCACCUGUGUGUGUGUGUGUGUGUGUGUGUGUGUGUGUGUGUGUGUGUGUGUGUGUGUGUGUAUGUGUAUGUGUAUGUGUGUGUGAGAUGCAGUAACUUCAGACUGGGAGAUGGCUCCCUUAAUAAGGGGCUUAUCUUGCAAGCAUGAAGACCUGAGCUCUUCCAUCACCCCUAGAACCCAUGUAAAAAUCCAGGCAGUAAUCCUAGCACUAGGAAAGCAGAGGCAGAAAGAUCCCUGGGAUCCACUAGCCAGCCAGUCUAGUCUACUUGCUCCAGGACCAAUGAGAGGUG
rnacentral:lncRNA from 1 species